GCAUUUGCUCACGGCUGUGUUAUUUUAAAGGCAAAUGUGGCUCCAAAAUGGAGCCACCAUCCUAGCACGGGGCCAAAUCACACUGUGGGCCAUUUUUAGUGGAGAGAGACUGUUUACAAUAAAUCCAGGCAGGCUUUAAAUGUUGAUUUAUUCUUCUUAAAAGCCGAACCACACCAUGUGGAUUGGCUGAAUCCAAUAAGGGAUUCUGGGACUCAUUAAAGUCAGGGGAUGCCCAAGACCUUUCCUUCUUCCCCUCCUCACUCAAGCUCCCUGACUUUUGGCCACUCUGCUAACACCCUUAGUACCUCUAUUGUAUGGAGAAUUAAAAGGAGCUGAAGUUAAAAAAAUGUGCAUAAAGGGCAUUUUUUAAAUUCCGCUUUUCAAUUUUUUGGAAGAUUCAUCCCCAAUAAUUCCAAAUGGCCUCCCAGAGGUUUAUGGGAACAGACAAAGGCU
rnacentral:lncRNA from 1 species